rnacentral:rRNA from 1 species
GCAUCCUUGAUGAUCGAAAGCUCCGGCGGUGCAGGAUGAGCCCGCGGCCUAUCAGCUUGUUGGUGAGGUAACGGCUCACCAAGGCGACGACGGGUAGCCGGCCUGAGAGGGCGACCGGCCACACUGGGACUGAGACACGGCCCAAACUCCUACGGGAGGCAGCAGUGGGGAAUAUUGCACAAUGGGCGAAAGCCUGAUGCAGCGACGCCGCGUGAGGGAUGACGGCCUUCGGGUUGUAAACCUCUUUCAGCAGGGAAGAAGCGAAAGUGACGGUACCUGCAGAAGAAGCGCCGGCUAACUACGUGCCAGCAGCCGCGGUAAUACGUAGGGCGCAAGCGUUGUCCGGAAUUAUUGGGCGUAAAGAGCUCGUAGGCGGCUUGUCGCGUCGGUUGUGAAAGCCCGGGGCUUAACCCCGGGUCUGCAGUCGAUACGGGCAGGCUAGAGUUCGGUAGGGGAGAUCGGAAUUCCUGGUGUAGCGGUGAAAUGCGCAGAUAUCAGGAGGAACACCGGUGGCGAAGGCGGAUCUCUGGGCCGAUACUGACGCUGAGGAGCAAAAGCGUGGGGAGCGAACAGGAUUAGAUACCCUGGUAGUCCACGCCGUAAACGGUGGGCACUAGGUGUGGGCAACAUUCCACGUUGUCCGUGCCGCCAGCUAACGCAUUAAAGUGCCCCCGCCUGGGGAGUACGGCCGCAAGGGCUAAAACUCAAAGGAAUUGACGGGGGCCCGCACAAACGGCGGAGCAUGUGGCUUAAUUCGACGCAACGUGAAGAACCUUACCAGGCUUGACUUCCCCGGAAAUCUUAGAAAAAGGCCCCCUUUUGGUCGGGUACGGGGGGCAGGCUGUCAUCGUUCGUGUUGUGAGCAGUUGGGUUAAGUUCCGCAACGAGUGCAACCCUUUCCACUCCGCCAGCAGGCCCUUGUGGUGAAGGGGACUCACGGGAGACAGCCGGGGUUAACUCGGAGGAAGGAGGGGAGGAAGUCAAGUCAUCACGCCCCCUCUGUCUUGGGCUGCACACGUCCUACAAUGGCCGGUACAAAGAGAUGCGAUACAGUGAGGGGGAGCGAAUCUCAAAAAGCAGGUCUCAGUUCGGAUUGGGGUCUGUAACUCGACCCCAUGAAGUCGGAGUCGCUAGUAAUUGCAGAUCAGCACGCUGCGGUGAAUACGUUCCCGGCCUUUGUACACACCGCCCGUCAUGUCACGAA